rnacentral:rRNA from 1 species
AAAUUUNGANCCNUGGCUCAGAUUGAACNCNGCGGCAGCCNUAACACCAUGCAAGUCGACCGGUAACCAGAAGCAGCUUGNUGUUUNCGCUUAACGAGUGGCGGACGGNUGAGUAAUGUUUUGGAAANCUUCCCUGAUGGAAGGGGGAUAACUACUGGAAACGGUAGCUAAUACCGCAUAACGUCGCAAGACCAAAGAGGGGGACCUUCGGNCCUCUUGCCAUCGGAUGUGCCCAGAUGGGAUUAGCUAGUAGGUGGGGUAACGGCUCACCUAGGCGACGAUCCCUAGCUGGUCUGAGAGGAUGACCAGCCACACUGGAACUGAGACACGGUCCAGACUCCUACGGGAGGCAGCAGUGGGGAAUAUUGCACAAUGGGCGCAAGCCUGAUGCAGCCAUGCCGCGUGUAUGAAGAAGGCCUUCGGGUUGUAAAGUACUUUCAGCGGGGAGGAAGGCGANAANGUUAAUAACCCUGUNNCUUGACGNGNGACAGAGAGCCCGCACUC